GACCACUGAACGAGAACCUGAGAACCUCUCUGGAUGUUUCCCCUGACAGGACGUGUUGGUAAAUACAUCAACUAGCUGUGGAUUCAUCCAGCCAGAACCAAAACGAGUCUCCAAGUUUUCCACAACUUUUCCUGUUUAGUCCUGCAGCAGAAUGUGUCCUCAGACCCACAUUUGAGAUGUUCUGCUGUGUCUUAAUCGUCUGACAGAAGAACAUCAGGAGCAGGAGGUCUUCGGCGAUGACCUUAGCCACGAGCAAAGACACCACAGAGCAAGUCUCUGGUGCUUUGGCUGACCAGGCUUUUCACACCAGAACACCAGCUAAUUUCUUUCUAAAAACUCGAGAGUUUCAGCAACAUGAAAGUUGUGCUUUAUGGUUCCACGUUGCUGGAGAGGUUCUGGUUCCACGUUGCUGGAGAGGUUCUGGUACCACGAGGCUGGAGAUGUUCUGGGUCCACGUUGCUGGAGAUGUUCUGGUUCCACGAGGCUGGAGAGGUUCUGGUUCCACGUUGCUCGAGUUGUACUGG